CCCCAUCCCCCAUCCCCUAAGCCAGUAAAGCAAUGACAACAGCACCUUGACAUUGUUUUAAUUCCAACGCUAUCAGAAGUUAAAAGCAGUAAAACAGAUAUAGUACUAACAAGAACGAAGAUACUUACUGUCUAAAAUGUAAACGGAAUGUUUUGGUUCAAAUUUUUGUUGUGUGUGUGUGUUUUUUUUUCUGUUUUCUGAAAGAGGACAGUUUAUUAUCAAUUCACAAUUAAAGCAGCAUGCAAUUUAUUAUUUUUUUUAACUUUUUAUGUUUUCAAUUCUUGGCAACGGCAACAAACCACAACAUUAUCAAGGAAUGUAAUGCAGACUUUUUAAGUUGUGCGCAAAUGACUGUUUCCCUUCUGGUCAUGGACAUGUCCAAUAAAUAGAUUGUAGAACCACUGUACUGUAUAAACUUCAUUUAUACAUGCAGUUCAUAAAAUUAUUUUUUUCUUAACUGAAUAAUUUACCCUGUUAUGUAUAUAUACAAAUAGAUAAUUUUUGUCUCAAUAUAAUCUAAUCUAUACAACAUAAAUCCACUAUCUUCCCCUUUUAAUGGUCAAUGUACAUACACAAGAAGUGUCUAUCCUUAUGAAUCGCCAGCCAAUUCUCUUUUUGCUAUCCAUGGUAAGGGCCCGCACGUACGACUGGGUAGUUCGGCACUGGGAGUUCCAAUGCCUUUUGUCUAUGCCCCUGCAGCCUUCUUUUGUGUAACCCAUGGGAUUGCACUUGGUCUCGUAGAAGUAUUGCUUCAGUUGGCCUUUUGAUACAGGGACCUUUUCAAGGACUGUGACCGUCCCGCCCGACAUGUCCACUGCAGUCUUUUUGUCCGCCGCCGUAACCCACUCGCUAAUACUGUCACACACGCUCAGCUCCCCUCGGCGGGCAGGGUCAGAGUGGCGCCGGACCCUCAUGGACAUGUUUGCAGCAUCUAGGUAAUUUUUGUAUUCCUCCAGCAGAAAGAGAAGAGGAGGCUCCAAAGGCACUUGACUACUGAGCAUCACCCUGGACGUGUACAAGUCUGCGUCCUUAUUGUUUUCUUCAUUGGGCCGAACUUUCUGGUCCUCAUCCAACAGCUCUUCUAUCACGUGUUCGAAAGUGUCAGCCAACGAUGUCAAGCCUCUUGAACCUGCCUUGGGCCCAUUCACGCUCUCCAGAGUCCCAUGGGUCCGCACACCUGGGUAGGCCAAGCCACCUUGUCCUCGGAUGUUUGCUUCUUUCAUGGGGGCAGCCUUCAUGCAACCAAAGUAUGAAAUAACCAUAAGAUACUCUAUUAUAGCAAAGAAGAAAGAUAAUUUCAUUGAGCCAUCCUGUUUUACAGAAUCCCUUCAAAGCCUGGUGGUCUGACACCCUAUGCUACGUGACUCGUGACCCAUCCAUUUGUCAUGUUGUUUGGGAAUGUGGCUAAGGGGCUGAGAUGUGACUUGAAAAGAAAGGUAGAACCAGAUCAUCUCAAAUUUAUUAUCAAGGAAUAGUUCAGACAACGACUUCCGACCACAGAGACAGCAGAACAGAUGGUCCGACAUGGAUAGAGCAUCAGACACUCACAGACUGUGCCAACAAGAGCCAUCGAGUCAAAACCGCCAAAGGAAGGAGGGUCAUGGAAUGGGUUCUCUCACACCAAACUGAUGCCCAGAGGCCCUUGGCAUGAAUAACAAAGGCAACCAGACCCACAAGCCAUACUGAGUGGAUACAAAACCUAUACCUAGGCUGACAUCCCAAAUGUGUGUGGCAAGUUAGAUGAUGAUGGCACAAAAGACAGAACACCUUGCUUCUGGCCAUUGUCAGCUCUUGGAAGAGAGCACACUUUUAGAGGAGUAGCUGCAAGGAGCCUGAGAACAAAACUAGAAAUGUCUGUUAUGAAAGCCUUCGCAGGUAUUAUUAACAAAAGAAAAUGUGUAUUUGUCAAUGGUGUUUCAGCUAGAUUUUGGCAGUCCAUUCUUAUGCCCAGG
rnacentral:lncRNA from 1 species